CUCCGGGUUGAUCCUGCCGGACCUGACUGCUAUCGGAUUGGUACUAAGCCAUGCGAGUCAUUGUAGCAAUACGAGGCGGACGGCUCAGUAACACGUAGUCAACCUAACUCGUGGACGUGGAUAACCUCGGGAAACUGAGAAUAAACCACGAUAGAUCAUAGUGCCUGGAAUGGCUUAUGGUCCAAACAGUUUACUGCCAUGGGAUGGGACUGCGGCCUAUCAGCUUGUUGGUGAGGUAAUGGCCCACCAAGGCGAUUACAGGUACGGGCUCUGAGAGGAGAAGCCCGGAGAUGGGUACUGAGACACGGACCCAGGCCCUAUGGGGCGCAGCAGGCGAGAAACCUUAGCAAUGUGCGAAAGCACGACUGGGUCAGUCCGAGUGAUUCCUGAUAAAGGAGUCUUUUGCUUGUCCUAAAAGCACAGGUGAAUAAGGGGUGGGCAAGUCUGGUGUCAGCCGCCGCGGUAAUACCAGCACCUCGAGUGGUCAGGACGUUUAUUGGGCCUAAAGCAUCCGUAGCCGGCUCUGCAAGUCUUCGGUUAAAUCCACCUGCUCAACAGAUGGGCUGCUGGAGAUACUACAGAGCUAGGGAGUGGGAGAGGCAGACGGUAUUCAGUGGGUAGGGGUAAAAUCCUCUGAUCCAUUGAGGACCACCAGUGGCGAAGGCGGUCUGCCAGAACACGUUCGACGGUGAGGGAUGAAAGCUGGGGGAGCAAACCGGAUUAGAUACCCGGGUAGUCCCAGCUGUAAACGAUGCAAACUCGGUGAUGCAUUGGCUUAUGGCCAAUGCAGUGCCGCAGGGAAGCCGUUAAGUUUGCCGCCUGGGAAGUACGGACGCAAGUCUGAAACUUAAAGGAAUUGGCGGGGGAGCA
rnacentral:rRNA from 1 species